rnacentral:rRNA from 1 species
CAGUAGCCACGGGAAUACGGAGGGGGCUAGCGUUGUUCGGAAUUACUGGGCGUAAAGCGCACGUAGGCGGCUUUGUAAGUUAGAGGUGAAAGCCUGGAGCUUAACUCCAGAAUUGCCUUUAAGACUGCAUCGCUUGAAUCCGAGAGAGGUGAGUGGAAUUCCGAGUGUAGAGGUGAAAUUCGUAGAUAUUCGGAAGAACACCAGUGGCGAAGGCGGCUCACUGGCUCGGUAUUGACGCUGAGGUGCGAAAGCGUGGGGAGCAAACAGGAUUAGAUACCCGUGUAGUCCCUGUCUCUUAUAC